UUGAACGCUGGCGGCAGGCCUAACACAUGCAAGUCGAGCGGUUGAGAGUAGCUUGCUACUUGAUGCAGCGGCGGACGGGUGAGUAACGCGUGGGAAUCUGCCCAGUAGUGGGGGACAACAGCCGGAAACGGCUGCUAAUACCGCAUACGCCCUACGGGGGAAAGGGGGGGAUCUUCGGACCCCUCGCUAUUGGAUGAGCCCGCGUCGGAUUAGCUAGUUGGUAGGGUAAAGGCCUACCAAGGCUACGAUCCGUAACUGGUCUGAGAGGAUGAUCAGUCACACUGGAACUGAGACACGGUCCAGACUCCUACGGGAGGCAGCAGUGGGGAAUAUUGGACAAUGGGGGAAACCCUGAUCCAGCCAUGCCGCGUGUGUGAAGAAGGCCUUAGGGUUGUAAAGCACUUUCAGUGGGGAGAAAGGUUUGUCACCUAAUACGUGAUGAAAUUGAUGUUACCCACAGAAGAAGCACCGGCUAACUCCGUGCCAGCAGCCGCCGUAA
rnacentral:rRNA from 1 species